rnacentral:rRNA from 1 species
CCUACGGGAGGCAGCAGUGGGGAAUAUUGCGCAAUGGGCGAAAGCCUGACGCAGCGACGCCGCGUGAGGGAUGAAGGUCUUCGGAUCGUAAACCUCUGUCAGCAGGGAAGAACGUCCACUGUGCUAAUCAGCAGUGAAUUGACGGUACCUGCAAAGGAAGCACCGGCGAACUCCGUGCGAGCAGCCGCGGUAAUACGGAGGGUGCGAGCGUUAAUCGGAUUUACUGGGCGUAAAGCGCUCGUAGGCGGUAUGUCAAGUCAAGGGUGAAAUCCCCGCGCUCAACGUGGGAACUGCCUUUGAAACUGGCAGGCUGGAGUGUGGGAGAGGAAGGUGGAAUGCCAGGUGUAGGAGUGAAAUCCAUAGAUAUCUGAAGGAACAUCAGUGGCGAAGGCGACUAUCUGACACAUAACUGACGCUGAGGAGCGAAAGCGUGGGGAGCAAACAGGAUUAGAUACCCGUGUAGUC